GACAGAGGGUGCAAGCGUUGUUCGGAAUUAUUGGGCGUAAAGCGCGCGUAGGCGGCUAAUUAAGUCGGAUGUGAAAGCCCGGGGCUCAACCCCGGAAGUGCAUUCGAAACUGGUUAGCUUGAAUCCCGGAGAGGGUAGCGGAAUUCCUGGUGUAGAGGUGAAAUUCGUAGAUAUCAGGAGGAACAUCCGAGGCGAAGGCGGCUACCUGGACGGUGAUUGACGCUGAGGCGCGAAAGCGUGGGGAGCAAACAGG
rnacentral:rRNA from 1 species